CGCGGGCGGCCAGCCUAACCCCAUGCCAAAUCCGAGCGAUUUUUUUUGGAGAAGAGCGGCCGGACGGGUGGAGUAACGCGGGGGUAACCUGCCCUGUACACACGGAUAACAUACCGAAAGGUAUGCUAAUACGGGAUAAUAUAAGAAAUUCGCAUGUUUUUUUUAUCAAAGCUCCGGCGGUUCAGGAUGGACCCGCGUCUGAUUAGCUAGUUGGUGAGGUAAUGGCUCACCAAGGCCACGAUCAGUAGCCGACCUGAGAGGGUGAUCGGCCACAUUGGAACUGAGACACGGUCCAAACUCCUACGGGAGGCAGCAGUGGGGAAUAUUGCACAAUGGGCGAAAGCCUGAUGCAGCAACGCCGCGUGAGCGAUGAAGGCCUUCGGGUCGUAAAGCUCUGUCCUCAAGGAAGAUAAUGACGGUACUUGAGGAGGAAGCCCCGGCUAACUACGUGCCAGCAGCCGCGGUAAUACGUAGGGGGCUAGCGUUAUCCGGAUUUACUGGGCGUAAAGGGUGCGUAGGCGGUCUUUUAAGUCAGAAGUGAAAGGCUACGGCUUAACCGUAGUAAGCUUUUGAAACUGGAGGACUUGAGUGCAGGAGAGGAGAGUGGAAUUCCUAGUGUAGCGGUGAAAUGCGUAGAUAUUAGGAGGAAUACCAGUGGCGAAGGCGACUUUCUGGACUUAUACUGACACUGAGGAACGAAAGCAUGGGGAGCAAACAGGAUUAGAUACCCUGGUAGUCCAUGCCGUAAACGAUGAGUGCUAGGUGUCGGGGGCCAAACCCCGGUGCCGGAGCUAACG
rnacentral:rRNA from 1 species